CCUACGGGGGGCAGCAGUGGGGAAUAUUGCACAAUGGGGGAAACCCUGAUGCAGCGACGCCGCGUGAGUGAAGAAGUCUCUCGGUAUGUAAAGCUCUAUCAGCAGGGAAGAAAAUUACGGUACCUGACUAAGAAUCCCCGGCUCGCUACGUUCCAGCGGCCGCGGUGAUACGUAGGGGGCAAGCGUUAUCCGGAUUUACUGGGUGUAAAGGGAGCGUAGACGGGGCUGCAAGUCCGAAGUGAAAGCCCAUGGCUUAACCAUGGUACUGCUCUGGAAACUGUGGGGCUUGAGUGCGGGAGGGGCAGACGGAAUUCCUAGUGUAGCGGUGAAAUGCGUAGAUAUUAGGAGGAACACCGGCGGCGAAGGCGGUCUGCUGGAGCGUAACUGACGUUGAGGCUCGAAAGCGUGGGGAGCAAACAGGAUUAGAUACCCCUGUAGUC
rnacentral:rRNA from 1 species